rnacentral:rRNA from 1 species
UACGUAGGGCGCAAGCGUUGUCCGGAAUUAUUGGGCGUAAAGAGCUCGUAGGCGGUUUGUCGCGUCUGGUGUGAAAACUCAAGGCUCAACCUUGAGCUUGCAUCGGGUACGGGCAGACUAGAGUGUGGUAGGGGUGACUGGAAUUCCUGGUGUAGCGGUGGAAUGCGCAGAUAUCAGGAGGAACACCGGUGGCGAAGGCGGG